GAUGAAGAACGCAGCGAAAUGCGAUAAGUAGUGUGAAUUGCAGAAUUCAGUGAAUCAUCGAAUCUUUGAACGCACAUUGCGCCCUCUGGUAUUCCGGAGGGCAUGCCUGUUCGAGCGUCAUUUCGACCCUCAAGCAUUGCUUGGUGUUGGGGCACCGCCUGUAAAAGGGCGGGCCCUGAAAUCUAGUGGCGAGCUCGCCAGGACCCCGAGCGUAGUAAUUAUAUUUCGUUCUGGAAGGCCCUGGCGGUGCCCUGCCGUUAAACCCCCAACUUCUGAAAAUUUGACCUCGGAUCAGGUAGGAAUACCCGCUGAACUUAAGCAUAUCAAUAAGCGGAGGA
rnacentral:misc_RNA from 1 species